AGCUCUUGAAAGAGGAUUUUCCUUCCCUGUCAGAUGAGCUUGUGAUUAACAGCAGAUUUGGAGAUACAGUCCCACAUUGUUUAGCAAAGCAUGGAUCCAAGAAAGGAUCCAAAGGUAGGAUCCAGAAACCCAGAUUUAGGACAACUGUACCUUCAGUAUCAUUAGCCCUCACUGUUCUCAGGGCACUCACAUCUCAGGCAGCAUCCUCUCCCAUCCCACAGGGCAGUAACUGUGUGCAACACGGGGUCCACCGUGGGCACAAACUCAUGGACAAGCUCCCUGCUCAACAUCACAUGUCUCGGUGACUGUCUAAUUAAGAUAAAAAAUAAUUUCUUUUUACCCUUCUCAGCCCCUCCACUGUGUGGGUGAUGCCCCGUUUGGGCCAGCAUUUGAAGGACAGAAUAGGCUCUGGUCUUGCUGCUAUACCUUGGAGCUCACUCACCACCCAGGGAUGCAUGGCGAAACUGUUUGGACAACAGGGAUGAAAGCCUUUAAUUACAUGACUACCUGCUGCUUUUUGCAGAGAGCACUUGCCUCGUUCAGUGAACAGGACAGACCUGCUUUGCAUGUGGGUCACUUUACCGUGAAGGAGGCUGCUCCCCUGUGCGACCCUGCCUCAUUUAUUGCAGAGAGUGAAUCACAAACGGGGUGGGAGGCUGCAAGGAGAGUCGAGGUGUGUCACUGCUUCUCCUGAGAAUUAAAUUCAUCAUUUAGAAAGUCAGCUGGAUGACUGCUGACAGGUGUAGAAGUGUCUGAGCUGGCUCCUCAGCUCCCCUC
rnacentral:lncRNA from 1 species